CACGUAGUUAGCCGUGGCUUUCUGAUUAGGUACCGUCAAGACGUGCACAGUUACUUACACAUUUGUUCUUCCCUAAUGACAGAGUUUUACGAUCCGAAGACCUUCAUCACUCACGCGGCGUUGCUCCGUCAGGCUUUCGCCCAUUGCGGAAGAUUCCCUACUGCUGCCUCCCGUAGGAGUCUGGACCGUGUCUCAGUUCCAGUGUGGCCGAUCACCCUCUCAGGUCGGCUACGUAUCGUUGCCUUGGUAAGCCGUUACCUUACCAACUAGCUAAUACGGCGCGGGUCCAUCUAUAAGUGAUAGCAAAACCAUCUUUCACUUUAGAACCAUGCGGUUCUAAAUGUUAUCCGGCAUUAGCCCCGGUUUCCCGGAGUUAUUCCAGUCUUAUAGGUAGGUUACCCACGUGUUACUCACCCGUCCGCCGCUAACGUCAAAGGAGCAAGCUCCUUAUCUGUUCGCUCGACUUGCAUGUAUUAGGCACGCCGCCAGCUCGUCUGUCGCGUAGAGUCAAACUACGU
rnacentral:rRNA from 1 species